rnacentral:pre_miRNA from 1 species
UUCCCGUUUAGAGGAUAUUAGCAACCAUGAAAGUGUGUGGUGCCGGAUCAAUUUCUAUGGAAAAAGCAUAUUCUUGGGCGCAGUGUAUCGUCCACCAAACUCUU